rnacentral:rRNA from 1 species
AUUGAACGCUGGCGGCAUGCUUUACACAUGCAAGUCGAACGGUAACAGGCCUUCGGGUGCUGACGAGUGGCGAACGGGUGAGUAAUGCAUCGGAACGUACCCAGAGGUGGGGGAUAACGCAGCGAAAGCUGUGCUAAUACCGCAUGUGAUCUGAGGAUGAAAGCGGGGGACCGAGCAGCAAUGUUUGGCCUCGCGCCUUUGGAGCGGCCGAUGUCGGAUUAGCUAGUUGGUGGGGUAAAGGCCUACCAAGGCGACGAUCCGUAGCUGGUCUGAGAGGACGACCAGCCACACUGGGACUGAGACACGGCCCAGACUCCUACGGGAGGCAGCAGUGGGGAAUUUUGGACAAUGGGCGCAAGCCUGAUCCAGCAAUGCCGCGUGCGGGAAGAAGGCCUUCGGGUUGUAAACCGCUUUCGGCAGGAACGAAACGGUGUCCGCUAAUACCGGGCGCUAAUGACGGUACCUGCAGAAUAAGCACCGGCUAACUACGUG